AAAGCCUAGACAGCUUGUGUGAAGAAUGCAGUUAGUGGGCUUUCUGCCUCCGCUGCUGCCAUGGCGCCUGUGAAAAAGCUUGUGGCGAAGGGGGGCAAAAAAAAGAAGCAAGUUCUGAAGUUUACCCUUGACUGCACCCACCCUGUAGAAGAUGGAAUCAUGGAUGCUGCCAAUUUUGAGCAGUUUCUUCGAGAGAGAAUCAAAGUGAAUGGAAAAGCUGGGAAUCUCGGUGGAGGGGUUGUAACAAUUGAAAGGAGCAAAAGCAAGAUUACUGUAACUUCUGAGGUGCCUUUUUCCAAAAGGUAUUUGAAAUAUCUCACCAAAAAAUAUUUGAAGAAGAAUAAUCUCUGUGACUGGUUGCGCGUAGUUGCUAACAGCAAAGAGAGUUACGAGUUGCGUUACUUCCAGAUUUACCAAGACGAGGAAGAGGAGGAAGAUGAGGAUUAAAACUCAUUUAUCUGGAAUAUUUUGUAUGAGUUCUUAAAUAAAACUUGGGAACCAAAAAAAAAAAAAAGAA